rnacentral:tRNA from 1 species
CGGAAUUGUAGUUUAAUUAAAAUAUUAGCAUUGGAAGUUAAAGCUUGGGUCUUAAUCCCACUUUCCGA